CACAAGCAGCGGAGCGUGUGGUUUAAUUCGAUGUUACACGAAGAACCUUACCAGGGUUUGACAUGCAAGUGGUAGGAAGCCGAAAGGUGACCGACCCUUCGGGGAGCUUGCACAGGUGCUGCAUGGCUGUCGUCAGCUCGUGUCGUGAGAUGUUCGGUUAAGUCCGCUAACGAGCGCAACCCUCGUCGUAUGUUAUAUGUGUCAUACGAGACUGCCGGUAAAAGCCGGAGGAAGGUGAGGAUGAUGUCAAGUCAGCAUGACCUUUAUAUCCAGGGCUACACACACGCUACAAUGGUCUGUACAAUGGGUAGCCAAGCCGCGAGGCGGAGCCAAUCCUGAAAGCAGGCCUCAGUUCAGAUUGCAGUCUGCAACUCGACUGCAUGAAGCCGGAGUUGCUAGUAACCGCAGGUCAGCAAUACUGCGGUGAAUACGUUCCCGGGUCUU
rnacentral:rRNA from 1 species